AAAUCAUGACCCCCGGGGGUAGGGUGGGGCCACAAUGGGGCGUAGAAGUUUUACAUAGGAAUAUAUUGAGUAAAUCUUUAAAAAUCUUCUUCUUAGAAACUAAUCAGCCAGGAAAGCUGAAACUUGUGUGGAAGUAUCAUCAGGUAGUGUAGAUUCAAAGUUGUGAAAACAUGAUCCCUGGGGGUAGGGUGAGCCCACAUUGGGGGGGGUGUUAAAGUUUUACAUAGGAAUAUAUAGAGUAAAUCUUUUAAAAUCUUCUUCUCAGAAACUAAUCAGCCAGAUGAUUCUUUAUAAUUGUUAAGACUUUGGCUCCAGGACAAUUCUUUGGCCUCACAAGAAGGUUCAGAGUUUGAUGUAGCUUAAUAUCCCAUAUAUAAACAAUUGUAAGGGAUCUUUUUGAGGACUGCAAUACUCAACAUGUGAUAUGACUAUAAAAUCAUCCUGUUAGAAAAGGGACUAAUGAUUAUAAACAUAAGAAUAUCCAGGUGGAAAAAAUGGAUUUUAUUUAUACAGGAUCUACAUGUAUUAUUGUACAUUGUCCAGAUUGUUUGUAUUAUGACUCCAUUAAGCUGAUUUUAUCAUACCUAUUGUUCCUCAGGUGAGCGAUGUGGCCCAUGGGCCUCUUGUUUUAUUUAUUUUCAAAUCUUCUGUUGUUUUUUUUUUUAUUAGAAUAUGGUUGUGAAAUCCAGUUACAAGUAUUUUUUUGUGUUCUUUUUGUUGUUGUUGCUUUUUUUUUCCUUUCAUUAACUGCCACUACACAUUCCAUGUCUUCAUUUUCCUGCAUAAUUCUAUCACAAGGAACACUGGUCUUUAAUUGUGAAACUGUUACUACCAGUAUCAUCAAACUUUUAUGAUAGGCACAUUACAGAUUUGUUUGAAUUGAAAUGUAUUUAGGAAAAGUACAUUAGAAUAUGUACAUGGAUACUAUUGUUGGUAAGAUGUACAUGUAUUUGAUUUAUAUGUGUAUCUUUAUUUCACUUUUUCAUUGAUUAUUUGAAUGGUAUACAUACUAUAAAUGUAUUGGAACAUGUUUUAGGGGUUUGAAGAAUACUGUAGAUUCCUUAUUUUAUGCGAGUACUUAAUUCUGCGAUUCAAGCGUUUUCCAUCAAAUCGCGAGAACAUAAAAUUGCAAAUACCAAAUUUUUUAUUAUGGUUUCCUGUAGUUUACAUAUGUCUGAAAAAUAAAAGCGAGAUUUUUAAAAUUCGCGAGAUGUGCUUCUCACGAUUUUAAGCGAAUAAUAAUUACUUGCGUUUAAUUAGGAAUCUACAGUAUGAUUUGGAUUUAAUUGCAAUGUGCAAUUUGAUUGAUCAAAACUACAGUAUUAUAUGCAUGUAUCUAUAAUUAAAUUUGCUAAAAAGGCAAAAAUUUUCAAAAUGCAAUGCUAUUUCUCUCAAGGGUGAAACAAUUUUGCAAAUGCUAAUAAUUCAUUGAUAGUAAUUGUAUAAGGUCUAUGGCCUUAAAAAUGAAUUGCAAUCUCAAACUGAAUAUUUAUCCUGUAGAGGAUAUCCCAUUAGUUUUAAAUACAGAUGUAAUUCUAAAAUUAUCAGUAGAUGUUGAAUAACUUUGAUGGCUGAAUAAUGUCCAUGCUGUUGUAUACAAGUACAUGUGGUUUUUGAUUUAAUGGCACGAUCUGUACUGUAACAAACGAGGUACUUGGAGCAGGUACUUGUAAGUAUUUUUAUUUAUCAGGGUUUACAUGUUUGUUGCAGUGUUUUGUUAUUGCAUCAUUUUUCAUUUGAACAUUGGAUAUACCUGAUAAAUAGUACAGAAUAUACACAUAUAUAGUAUAUAUACAUUGAUGUUGUAAGAUAGAGUAGAGGGUUGUACAACUUGUGCUUCAUUCACUGUUUGAUUUACUGGUACACAUAUGUGUAUGCAGUUUUGUAGGAACAUCAUUUAUGGCUAUAAUGCAGUUAUUUUUUUGGUAUUUUGUAGUAAUUCCAAAUGGAAUAUGCUUGGGAUACCUGGGACAUUCCAAAGUGGGAAUAACAAUUUAAUAUCCUUAUACAUGUACAUGUAUAAAUUUUCAAAAUAAUAGAAAAAGCAGGGAUUAUCAGAGUAAUAUAAACAUAAACAUAAAAUUAAGAUUUUCUUUUUAAUUUCUUAAAUAAGUAAUAUCACCAGAGUGGUGGAAACAGAUGGGGCAUUCAUGUCAUACUGAUGUAGGUUCUGUAUACUCUUUAAUUAAUAUCUGAAAGACUGGAAUCUCAAGAAGUUAGAUGUGUUAAAGUGCUGGGAUUUACACGUGUUAUUGUAUUGUUGUUUUAGUUGUAGACGAGUGUGGUUUGUCUGAUGUUAAUUCUACCAUUGUUGAUUUUUAAUUGUUGAUCAAUAUAUCAAAUAAGUUUUGAUUGUUUUCUCUUUUUAAAUAAAUUAUGUUGAAACAAAGUAAAGGUUACUUUCUCAUUUCAGCAGAGCACUUAUUAGGCAAACAGUUAACCAUUGAAAAUAUCACAUGAAUGUAUUUUGAGAGGAGUGUUCCUACAGCUAGAUGUCCCAUUAAUGUCAUAAAGUAAAUUAAAAACUCCUGAUUUAUAUACAAAAAUCCCCACCAUAGAGACUCUUUCAGAAAUAUACUUCUUUUUGUAUUUGUUUUCCAUUUCUUAUACUUUAUACAUACAAUUUAAUUUUUUUUUUACUCAAUUUCAUAAUAAUACAAUAAGCUACCAUAUCAAAGGGUCUCACUUUAAUAAAGGGCAUUAGGAUGAAAAAUAUUCUUAAAAGACUUUGCUUUGACCUUAACCUUUGACUAAAGAUUUUGUGAUAAAUCAUUUCAACUGGCAUCAUUUAACCAACAAGCACUUUAAUGCUGUAGAAUAAGGCAGACACAUGUAUGAGAUAAGAUAUUUUCCAUUGGUCCUAUUUUCUCACACUAUACCAAAAGAAUGCCUGUAAUAUAAGGAUUGGCAGUGACCUUGAAUUAAGUUUCUAUAUCUGCAUUGCAUCCAUCAUGCUAUAGCUGACAAAAAAGGCAUUCACAUACACUGUAGUCUUGGUUUUACACAAUACUUUUAUUAAUGGCACAUUAAAAUUCUCAAUUUUUCAGAUUUCAUAGAAGAUAAAAAUCAAUAUAUAAUCAAUGGAAAACCAAUAUACAGAUUAGAUUUGUUCAUUUCAUUUAAUUACACUGAAUGAAUUGGUUAUUUCUAUAAAGGGUAAAGAAUGAGAUCAGUGAGACAAUUGCACUUCAAAUUGGAUGUAUACACAACUGUGUAAACAUUAGUUUGUUCUCUAAACGGUGGACUAAGCUACAAAAAUAUGCUGAUCGGGAAAUAAAAUCAAGUACAUCUACUAGUAGCAAGUCUGUAUAAAAUUGACUGUUCUUAAAGAGAAUUUGACCAUACAAACUAAACGUACUAAACUAUAUGUAUCAAAAUCACUUUUGCACAGUAAAAAACAGAGUAAAAUCCUAUGAAAAAAACCCUAAGGUUUCUUGAACUCUUUUUUAUGUAUUUAUAAAGAAAAAGCACCAGCAAGUAGACUAGAGAUACAAGUCAUCCAUCACCAUCUAAUGCACAAAAAUUCCUCAAUCAAGUCAAAAUAUACAAAACCCUCCAUGAUCUCUUUAAAAAGCUGCAUGUUUUGACUACAUUUACAUCUUUAUAUCGAGCCAAUUACUGUUGUUAUAUCAACUAUAAUGACUCAUAUUUGUAUUGUUACAUGUAAAUUGUUAUAUCUACCAUCAUAAUAACUUAAGCUAGGUUGGACUCGAUGUGAUUUAUAACAAUUACAACAAUUCUUGGUAAGUUUUCAGUGAAUGUAAUUUUUUUUGGCAUUGAAACAUCUACUUUUGCAUACAGAACGAUUGAAUACCAUUUUGUGGGAAUUCUUGAUCAUACAAUAAAAUGAGUUCUUAGAUAAAACCAGUGCUAAGAAUCAAGAUGCACGUACAAGUAUGUCAAUUGUACAUAAAUAGAUAUACUAUUCAAUAACGGAGAAAAAUACAGAGAACAAAAACAUCAUAUACAUGUAUAUGUACUUAUACAUAUAACAAAAAUUCUUCAUUGAUGUUCAAAAUUGAGCAAAGUGGCUUCCAAGCAUGAGGAUUUACAAUAGUACUUGAGAUAUACAU